GCUGGUAGCAUAGUGGUCAUAGCUAUUGCCUUUGGAUGCAAAAGGUUGCAGGUUUCAAUCCCUGCCAUAGUA
rnacentral:tRNA from 1 species